rnacentral:rRNA from 1 species
GACGAACGCUGGCGGCGUGCUUAACACAUGCAAGUCGAACGGAAAGGCCCUGCUUUUGUUGGUUUCUCGUUUGCCGAACGGGGGAGUAACACGUGAGUAACCUGCCCUUGACUUUGUGAUAACUUUAGGGAACUGGGGCGAAUAUCGCGUAUGAUCUCCUGCUGCAUGUUGGUGGAUGGAAAGUUUCGGCGGUUCGGGAUGGACUCGCUGGUUAUGAGCUUGUUGGUGGGGUAGUUGCUUACCAAGGCUUUGACGGCUAGCCUGCCUGAGAGGGUUGCCGGCCACCAUAGGACUAAGGUACGGAGCAGAAGGGUACGGGAGGCAGCAGUGGAGAAUAUUGCACAGUGAGCGGACGCCUGAUGUGGCAAUGUCGCGUGCGGGAUAACGGCCUACGAGUUGUAAACAGAUGUCGACUGUGCCGAAGACUGCGUGACGGUAAUGGGUCAAGAAGCAACGGCUAACUACGUG